AUUGAACGCUGGCGGCAUGCUUUACACAUGCAAGUCGAACGGCAGCGGGGGCUUCGGCCUGCCGGCGAGUGGCGAACGGGUGAGUAAUGCAUCGGAACGUGCCCAUGUCGUGGGGGAUAACGUAGCGAAAGCUACGCUAAUACCGCAUACGUCCUGAGGGAGAAAGCGGGGGAUCUUUGGACCUCGCGCGAUUGGAGCGGCCGAUGUCGGAUUAGCUAGUAGGUGAGGUAAAGGCUCACCUAGGCGACGAUCCGUAGCGGGUCUGAGAGGAUGAUCCGCCACACUGGGACUGAGACACGGCCCAGACUCCUACGGGAGGCAGCAGUGGGGAAUUUUGGACAAUGGGGGCAACCCUGAUCCAGCCAUGCCGCGUGAGUGAUGAAGGCCUUGGUCGUAAGACUCUGUGGG
rnacentral:rRNA from 1 species